AUUGAACGCCGGCGGCAGGCCUAACACAUGCAAGUCGAGCAGAUGAUGGGAGCUUGCUCCUGGAUUCAGCGGCGGACGGGUGAGUAAUGCCUAGGAAUCUGCCUGGUAGUGGGGGACAACGUUUCGAAAGGAACGCUAAUACCGCAUACGUCCUACGGGAGAAAGCAGGGGACCUUCGGGCCUUGCGCUAUCAGAUGAGCCUAGGUCGGAUUAGCUUGUUGGUGAGGUAAUGGCUCACCAAGGCGACGAUCCGUAACUGGUCUGAGAGGAUGAUCAGUCACACUGGAACUGAGACACGGUCCAGACUCCUACGGGAGGCAGCAGUGGGGAAUAUUGGACAAUGGGCGAAAGCCUGAUCCAGCCAUGCCGCGUGUGUGAAGAAGGUCUUCGGAUUGUAAAGCACUUUAAGUUGGGAGGAAGGGUUGUAGAUUAAUACUCUGCAAUUUUGACGUUACCGACAGAAUAAGCACCGGCUAACUCUGUGCCAGCCGCCGCAGUAAUAC
rnacentral:rRNA from 1 species